rnacentral:rRNA from 1 species
CACCGCGGUUAUACGAGAGGCUCAAGUAGAUAGACAUCGGCGUAAAGUGUGGUUAGGGCCUAAAAAACUAAAGCCAAAUACCCCCAAGGCUGUUAUACGCGCCCGGAGGGACGAAGCCCUCUCACGAAAGUAGCUUUAUCUACCUCGCCUGAAUCCACGACAGCUAAGAAACAAACUGGGAUUAGAUACCCCACUAUGCUUAGCCAUAAAAUUUGACAGCAAAAUACAACUGCUGUCCGCCAGGGAACUACAAGCGCCAGCUUAAAACCCAAAGGACUUGGCGGUGCCUCAGACCCACCUAGAGGAGCCUGUUCUAGAACCGAUAACCCCCGUUCAACCUCACCUCUCCUUGUUCCCCCCGCCUAUAUACCGCCGUCGUCAGCAUACCCUGUGAAGGACAUAUAGUAUGCAAAAUGGACAAAACCCAAAACGUCAGGUCGAGGUGUAGCGUAUGAAGAGGGAAGAAAUGGGCUACAUUCUCUAACCUAGAGCAUUACGAAGGGGGCCGUGAAACCGGUCCCUGAAGGUGGAUUUAGCAGUAGACGAGAACUAGAGCGUCCCGUCGAAACUGGCUCUGAGGCGCGCACACACCGCCCGUCACUCUCCCCAAGUCUAUUUAUCUAGUUCAUAAAAACAACACCGGACAAAGGGGAGGCAAGUCGUAA